rnacentral:rRNA from 1 species
AACGAACGCUGGCGGCGUGCUUAACACAUGCAAGUCGAACGCGAAAGGGACUUCGGUCCUGAGUAAAGUGGCGCACGGGUGAGUAACGCGUAGAUAACCUGUCUUCAUGUCUGGAAUAAUACGCCGAAAGGGGUACUAAUACCGGAUAUUCUUGCUUUUCAUAAGUUAUGCAAGCAAAGGUGGCCUCUGCAUAUGCUACUGCAUGAAGAGGGGUCUGCGUACCAUUAGCUAGUAGGUGGGGUAAUGGCCUACCUAGGCGACGAUGGUUAGCGGGUCUGAGAGGAUGAUCCGCCACACUGGCACUGGAACACGGGCCAGACUCCUACGGGAGGCAGCAGUGAGGAAUAUUGCGCAAUGGGGGAAACCCUGACGCAGCGACGCCGCGUGAGUGAAGGAAGGCCUUCGGGUCGUAAAGCUCUGUCAAGAGGAAAGAAGUGUACAAUGGCUAAUACCUGUUGUAUUUGACGGUACCUCUAAAGGAAGCACCGGCCAACUCCGUGCCAGCAGCGGC